UCGGAUUGGAGUCUGCAACUCGGCUGCAUGAAGCUGGAAUCGCUAGUAAUCGCGAAUCAGAAUGUCGCGGUGAAUACGUUCCCGGGUCUUGUACACACCGCCCGUCACACCAUGGGAGUCGGAUAUGCCCGAAGCCGGUGACCUAACCGCAAGGAAGGAGCCGUCGAAGGUGGAGCCGAUGACUGGGGUGAAGUCGUAACAAGGUAUC
rnacentral:rRNA from 1 species